rnacentral:rRNA from 1 species
GAUGAACGCUGGCGGCGUGCCUAACACAUGCAAGUCGAACGGAGUCCAGCCUUUAAGACCUUCGGGUCAAAGAGGGGAAGACUGAGUGGCGGACGGGUGAGUAACACGUGGGCAACCUGGCUCAUAGAGGGGGAUAACAGAGAGAAAUUUCUGCUAAUACCGCAUAAGCACACACUGCCGCAUGGCAGAGGGUGAAAAGAGAAUCGCUAUGAGAUGGACCCGCGUCUGAUUAGCCAGUUGGCAGGGUAAGAGCCUACCAAAGCGACGAUCAGUAGCCGAUCUGAGAGGAUGAACGGCCACAUUGGGACUGAGACACGGCCCAAACUCCUACGGGAGGCAGCAGUGGGGGAUAUUGCACAAUGGGGGGAACCCUGAUGCAGCGACGCCGCGUGAGUGAAGAAGUAUUUCGGUAUGUAAAGCUCUAUCAGCAGGGAAGAUAAUGACAGUACCUGAAUAAGAAGCCCCGGCGAACUACGU